GCUAGGUGUGGUGGCGCACACCUGUAAUCCCAGUGGCUUGGGAGGCUGAGGCAGGAGAAUGCUGAGUUCAGAGCCAGCCUUAG
rnacentral:sRNA from 1 species